rnacentral:ncRNA from 1 species
GGCGUUUGCAUGGCUACUGAGCAUUUACUGAUAGGACCCGAAAGGUGGUGAACUUUGCCUGCACAGGUUGAAGUCAGGGGAAACUCUGAUGGAGGACCGUACGGGUUAUUGAUGUGCAAAUCAUUUUUCUGAUGUAGGUAAAGGUGCGAAAGACUCAUCGAACCACCUAAUAGCUGGUUUCCUCCGAAGUUUCCCUCAGGAUAGCUGUAAUGCAUUUAGUUAAGGGGAGUAGAGAUAUGGGUAGAGGUGCAGGGAGCCUUCGGGUUCUCAACUUAUUUCCAAACUUCGAACCUCCUUGUUAGGCAUUUACCUAACUGGAAAUGCUUAAAUGAAUUAGCGUUACAAGUGGGCUCUGACCGGUAAGCGGUCAUGGCGAAAUGGGAUGAACCAUACGUCUGAAUAAGGUGCCGAAAUGUACUAUCACUGAUACCAUAAAGGGAGUCCAUGUAUUUAGACAGCAGGUCGGUGCCCCUAAAAGCAGGUAUCCGCUAAAGAGUGUGUUAAAACUCACCUGCCGAAUACUAGGGCCCCGAAAAUGAAUGGCGCAUAUAGUACUACCGAUCUCAGACAUCAGUUCUAUUGAACUGAGAGUAGGGGGAUGUGGACAUUUUUGUGAAGGUGCAAUGUGAGUUGGACUGGAAGAAUGUCUAUUACAGAUCCUAAUUGAAGUAGCGAUUAUCCAGGCUUGUAUCCUGGGGGCUGAUGAGGAGUAGGGUUUCUGGACAACUUAAACAGAUCCAGAGUUAGUCGAUCCUAAUCUCAAUAAUGGGAGAAAGGGAGUACAGUUGAUAUUCUGUAACUGACAACAGUUCGCGGCAACGCAUACUAUUUUUCUCCGCCAAUCUUAUACCGUUGGUAGGGAUCUCUUUCCUACAUGACAGUACUAAUACCCAGGGAAACUGGUCAUCAGGCGAACUGCGGCGUUCUGCUGGCAAAACAUAGCUUCGGUUAUGUCAAUGGCUAUUGGAUUGGUCCAUGAAGCGAAAAAUAGUUUACUGUGUCACUCGUACCGAUAACCGCAUCACGUCUUCUAGGUAAGUAGCCUAUGGCCAUUGAGGCAUGAUAGUUCAGGGAAUCGGCCAUUAGAGCUGUACUUCGGAUAAGCUUGGCUCUGAUGAAAUCAGAAUCGAUUGUUACGCGG